GGUUAAGUUAGAAAGGGCGCACGGUGGAUGCCUUGGCACUAGGAGCCGAUGAAGGACGGGACUAACACCGAUAUGCUUCGGGGAGCUGUAAGUAAGCUUUGAUCCGGAGAUUUCCGAAUGGGGAAACCCGCUGCACGUAAUGGUGCAGUAUCCAUACUUGAAUACAUAGAGUAUGGAAGGCAGACCCGGGGAACUGAAACAUCUAAGUACCCGGAGGAAGAGAAAGCAAACGCGAUUCCCUGAGUAGCGGCGAGCGAAACGGGAUUAGCCCAAACCAAGAGGCUUGCCUCUUGGGGUUGUAGGACACUCUAUACGGAGUUACAAAGGAACGAAGUAGACGAAGAAGUCUGGAAAGGCUCGUCACAGAAGGUAAUAACCCUGUAGUCGAAACUUCGUUCCCUCUUGAGUGGAUCCUGAGUACGGCGGGACACGAGAAAUCCCGUCGGAAGCUGGGAGGACCAUCUCCCAAGGCUAAAUACUCCCUAGUGACCGAUAGUGAACCAGUACCGUGAGGGAAAGGUGAAAAGCACCCCGGAAGGGGAGUGAAAUAGAACCUGAAACCGUGUGCCUACAAGUAGUCAGAGCCCGUUAACGGGUGAUGGCGUGCCUUUUGUAGAAUGAACCGGCGAGUUACGAUCCCAUGCAAGGUUAAGUCGGAAAGACGGAGCCGCAGCGAAAGCGAGUCUGAAUAGGGCGAAUGAGUAUGUGGUCGUAGACCCGAAACCAGGUGAUCUACCCAUGUCCAGGGUGAAGUUCAGGUAACACUGAAUGGAGGCCCGAACCCACGCACGUUGAAAAGUGCGGGGAUGAGGUGUGGGUAGCGGAGAAAUUCCAAUCGAACUUGGAGAUAGCUGGUUCUCUCCGAAAUAGCUUUAGGGCUAGCCUCAUGUAGUAAGAGUCUUGGAGGUAGAGCACUGUUUGGACUAGGGGCCCUCAUCGGGUUACCGAAUUCAGACAAACUCCGAAUGCCAAAGACUUAUCCAUGGGAGUCAGACUGCGAGUGAUAAGAUCCGUAGUCGAAAGGGAAACAGCCCAGACCACCAGCUAAGGUCCCAAAGUAUACGUUAAGUGGAAAAGGAUGUGGAGUUGCUUAGACAACCAGGAUGUUGGCUUAGAAGCAGCCACCAUUUAAAGAGUGCGUAAUAGCUCACUGGUCGAGUGACUCUGCGCCGAAAAUGUACCGGGGCUAAACGUAUCACCGAAGCUGUGGAUUGACACCAUUUGGUGUCAGUGGUAGGAGAGCGUUCUAAGGGCUGUGAAGCUGGACCGUAAGGACUGGUGGAGCGCUUAGAAGUGAGAAUGCCGGUAUGAGUAGCGAAAGACAGGUGAGAAUCCUGUCCACCGAAUGCCUAAGGUUUCCUGAGGAAGGCUCGUCCGCUCAGGGUUAGUCGGGACCUAAGCCGAGGCCGAAAGGCGUAGGCGAUGGAUAACAGGUUGAUAUUCCUGUACCACCUCUUUUCCGUUUGAGUGAUGGGGGGACGCAGGAGGAUAGGGUAAGCGCGCUGUUGGAUAUGCGCGUCUAAGCAGUUAGGCUGGUGAUGAGGCAAAUCCCAUCACCGUGAAGGCUGAGCUGUGAUAGCGAGGGAAAUAUAGUACCGAAGUUCCUGAUUCCACACUGCCAAGAAAAGCCUCUAGCGAGGAAAAAGGUGCCCGUACCGCAAACCGACACAGGUAGGCGAGGAGAGAAUCCUAAGGUGAGCGAGAGAACUCUCGUUAAGGAACUCGGCAAAAUGACCCCGUAACUUCGGGAGAAGGGGUGCUCUGGUAGGGUGCAAGCCCCGAGAGAGCCGCAGUGAAUAGGCCCAGGCGACUGUUUAGCAAAAACACAGGUCUCUGCGAAGCCGUAAGGCGAAGUAUAGGGGCUGACGCCUGCCCGGUGCUGGAAGGUUAAGGGGAGUGCUUAGCGCAAGCGAAGGUGCGAACCGAAGCCCCAGUAAACGGCGGCCGUAACUAUAACGGUCCUAAGGUAGCGAAAUUCCUUGUCGGGUAAGUUCCGACCCGCACGAAAGGCGCAACGAUCUGGGCACUGUCUCAACGAGAGACUCGGUGAAAUUAUAGUACCUGUGAAGAUGCAGGUUACCCGCGACAGGACGGAAAGACCCCGUGGAGCUUUACUGUAGCCUGAUAUUGAAUUUUGGCACAGCUUGUACAGGAUAGGUAGGAGCCUAAGAAACCGGAGCGCCAGCUUCGGUGGAGGCGUCGGUGGGAUACUACCCUGGCUGUGUUGAACUUCUAACCCGCGCCCCUUAUCGGGGUGGGAGACAGUGUCAGGUGGGCAGUUUGACUGGGGCGGUCGCCUCCUAAAGAGUAACGGAGGCGACCAAAGGUUCCCUCAGAAUGGUUGGAAAUCAUUCGCAGAGUGUAAAGGCACAAGGGAGCUUGACUGCGAGACCUACAAGUCGAGCAGGGACGAAAGUCGGGCUUAGUGAUCCGGUGGUUCCGCAUGGAAGGGCCAUCGCUCAACGGAUAAAAGCUACCCCGGGGAUAACAGGCUUAUCUCCCCCAAGAGUCCACAUCGACGGGGAGGUUUGGCACCUCGAUGUCGGCUCAUCGCAUCCUGGGGCUGUAGUCGGUCCCAAGGGUUGGGCUGUUCGCCCAUUAAAGCGGUACGCGAGCUGGGUUCAGAACGUCGUGAGACAGUUCGGUCCCUAUCCGUCGUGGGCGCAGGAAAUUUGAGAGGAGCUGUCCUUAGUACGAGAGGACCGGGAUGGACGCACCGCUGGUGUACCAGUUGUCUUGCCAAAGGCAUCGCUGGGUAGCUAUGUGCGGAAGGGAUAAGUGCUGAAAGCAUCUAAGCAUGAAGCCCCCCUCGAGAUGAGAUUUCCCAUCACUUUAUGUGAGUAAGAUCCCUGAAAGAUGAUCAGGUAGAUAGGUCUGAGGUGGAAGCGUGGCGACACGUGCAGCUGACAGAUACUAAUCGAUCGAGGACUUAACCAC
rfam:Bacillus sp. SG-1 1101501000769, whole genome shotgun sequence.